UUUUAAUUUUAAUUUAUACUAACAUGUUUCUGAUUUUGAUGAUUCAGGCACCCACUCUUGAAUUUAAACAAUUGCCGAAUCAUUUCAAGUAUCACCUCCCAUUAAAAGAUAAAUUCCAUGCUUUGGAGCCGAGGGGAGUUUAAAGGAAAGAUUCGUCCGACUGCGGACGUUAAAGCAAGCGCUUCUUGGGAGGCAACCCAAGCAUUCAACUUACACCCUUAUCUUUACUGCUUUCAUUUUGUUUUGUUUAGUUAGUUGUGUUAUUUGGUUGAUUUAUGUGAGUUUGUGUUAUUUAGUUUAAGUGUGGGGGAAGGUUAAACAAAGUUUUUUUACAUUAAUUUACAUAUUUAAAAAAAAAAAAAAACAUUAAAGUAAAAAUAUUUUACAAUGAUGUGUAAACUAAUAGCAUUCAUUGGUCAGGUGGUGCUUCAGUAGUCGGCGGAGCUUCAGCAGUCGGCGGGGCCACGGAAGGAGGAGGUAUCGGAGAUUGAUCAGUUGGAGCUUCACUACGUGGUGCCGCCCCAGAAGACGAAGGCAGAUGCGGUUGGAACAAACCCACAAACCUACGGUGAUCAAGUAAA
rnacentral:lncRNA from 1 species